CAGAAACUCAGAAACUCACAAAGCAGGGGUGAGACCUCUGCUCGACAGCAAAGGCAGGCAGCGUCCCUCAUCCCUGCACCACGAGGGCGUCACAGCCCCUUCCCGGGUGGCCACAGCCACAGGGCACCCUGCGCCCUCUCCGGGCCUCGCCUUCCUCUUCUGAAACAGGACGGUGAUCUCAUCCCCCUCACAGGCUGAUGCAGAGACCUAAGGAGCACACUGGCUGUACACGGAGGAAAGCACCUCGGUUUCCUGAAGCAGUGUGGCAUUCGAGUCUGAUUUCCAGCAACUCCACUGCCCCCGCAGCCAGACUUUGCAUGAGCAGAGUUCGCAAACCUUCUAGAAUCUGGCGAGGAACAGAGGAAAUCAGCUAAAGGGCGUAACAGGAAGUGGGGCCUGGACCGGGAACCUGGUUCCUCCGCUCUUUCCCUAUAGGUACAGAAGGAACAGGCCCAGGAAUGAGUAAGAAUGUUUUUCUCUACAAAUAACUCACACCCAAGCCUCAAGCAGGGUUAGGGAGUGAGGCAUUGUGUCAUCACCUACCACAGGAAGCCCAGAGCCAGGGCAGACUCCAGACACGGCACGCAGGGUUGUGACUCUACACACCUGGCGCCUGGGGCACUGGUGUCUUCCAGGCAGCUCUGCCAGGUGUCACAUCUGGACAAGACAGAGAGGUACUAUCUUCCCCUUAGGAGUGAUGAACUCCUUUCCAGAAGCUUCCUGCAGGCUUCUCCUCAUGCCUCACGUCUAGAAUAGAGUGAUCUGCAUGUUCCAAGAACAGUCACUGGUUGGAGAGUUGGUAUCACCGUGACUGGGUGAGCCUGAUGGCUCUAAACUCUGGCUGUACAUCAGAAGCACACACUGAGCUUCUGAAAAGGAGAGGCCUGGGCCCCACUUCCAGAGAUUCAGUUCAAUGGAUCUCCUGUAGUACCUGAGCAUCAGAACUUCGUAGCCCCCGAAGGUGCAUGCUACGGCCAGAAAGAAACUCAGGGAAAAAUGGAUGUUGCAGAGACGUCGCCACAAAUGAAACCCACAGCGACAGGAGAAAGCGGCUCGCGUCCCGUUGAAGAAGAUGCUUCCCUGGAUUACUGUGCAGAGUUGAAGCUUUACCUUUCACCUGGAGAACGCGUGGUUCUGUGACCAAAACAGUGGCAGCUCCUCCACCAGCCCCUGCUGCUCCCAUCCCUUCCAGGGAAGAAACUUUUGUUUCUGUGAUGCCAGCGCAGGCAUUCAGAGCAAAGCCACUUCCAGGAAAUUCUAAGAAUGAGGUGCGGGCACCACUGGGCUGGCGCAUGAGAGUCAUGUGCCUCAGACUCCACGCCCCCUGCUGACCGUGCCCACAGGCUCCCAGGUUAUCUGUGGCGGAGGUCAGGGUCUGCUGGGCAGGGUCAGGGAUGUCUGGUUGGGCUGAAGCAGAUGCAGGGGUCCUGCGGUCACCACUGCCUCCGAUGAAGCUCUGAAUGGUCUUCUCUGUUCUUCCAUACGGUCAUGUGCCACACAACAACAUUUCCAACCACAGACAGCGUAUACUAUGGUUGUCCUGUAAGAGUAUAAGGGAGCUGAAAAAUUCCUAUCAUGUGAUGACAUUGUAGCCACCUCAACGUCUUAGCACAAUUAUAUAUAUAUACACACACACAUAUAUAUACUUUAUAUGUAGAGAGAGAGAGUGUGGCCUACGUGUGCAGUGUUUAUAAAGUCUGCAGUAGUCAUAGUGAUGUCCUAGGUCUUCACAUUCACUCCCGACUCACCCACUGACUCACAAGAGCAGCUGCCAGUCCUGCAAGCUCCACUCAUGGUAAGUGCCUUGCACAGGUACUGUUGUUCAUCUUUCGUAUUGUUCUUUCACGGCACCUUUUCUCUGUUUAGAUACACACACGCCACUGUGUCAUAAUUGCCGACAGCACUCAGCGCAGUGACAUGCAGGUCUCAGCCUGGCACGACAGGCUGUCUCAUAUCGCCAGGUGUAAAGCAGCUCAUAGCACGCGGGUGUGUGGAAGUUCACUCUGCGAUGCUCACACAACAGCAAAUUGCCUGAGGACCCAUUUCUCAGAAGGUGCUGAGGAAGCUCUGAUGCCCCCGCGAGGAUCAAACAUGAGUCGUGGAGACAGGACAUGGUGACAUGUAGGAGAACACAGUUGAAUGCCAGGUAAGCCCCACGUGGGCCUCAUGGGUUCAGAGGCUUUUUUCAGAAUUACUUCCAGUAGAACGGUUGCCCGUCACAGGGAGCAUAUCCAAGAGGGCGUGUGUGUGAAGCUGGAAAAGUGGCUUGUACUGGGAAUGGGGUGUCUCAUAUCUCUAUAGAGAGACCGCAGGGAGCUGAGGACUGAAGGAGAGGUUAGAGCAGCUCAGGCUCAAGCCCUCUUCCCCAGAAUCACCAGGAACUUGCCAGGGAGGCUUUUGUUGCUGUUGUUGCAAAAUCCAAUUGCAAUUACAACAAUAAGUGAGGAAUUAAACUACAAGUAUGAAUAGCAUGGGCAGCUUAAUUCUUAAUAAGAAAGCCUAAGGUGCUUUCAACUAAACCACUUUCUGAAGUUUUUUUUUUACCAAAAAUAAAUUAUAUCCCAAAAUUUAUAAGAAAAGGUACAAGAUAAAAAAGUGCCCCCUUUUAGAGCUAAAGUUGUCAAGCUGCAGAUAUUUGAUUGAUUUGUCCGUGAGAGGGUGGGAGGGAAGAAGCCUCCUUAUGUGAAGCCGUCUCAGAAUUUCUACUCCCAGACCCACAUGCGGAUGUGGAAAGCCAAACAUGUGAUUUCAGGCAAAUACAUUAAAGAGUAAGAGAUAGAAAAGUAUGUAAUUGGAUGUAUCAUUAUGAUAUUUUCCACUGUCAGCAAAAGGAAAAAGAUAUUGAUUGUUCACACGCGCAAAGAGAAUCUCACAAACACACUCUUCCUGCAGCCAAUGUCCAUUUAAUCAUUGUGAUAAUGCAGCUACCUAGAUUUUUACUCUCCACAGAUCCAUUAGGUUUAAAAGCUCUUAAAACUUUGAUUCUCUACUGAAAAAUGGAAUGCUUUCUUUCUGGCCAUUAUAAAAUAUACUUUGCAGUAGUUUGUGCUGAUUCCAACCGUCCAUCUUUACAGUUGUUAAAUCAGGUUUAGACUAAGCUGCCUCCUUACAUAUUUUAAGUUUAGCCUGAAGGUUUUUCGGUAUAUCAUGAACUAUAACAAGCGGAGGUGUAAAUGAACUGUAUACUGCUCUUGCGCCAAUCACUCAGUUUGGGCCAAUAAAACGCAGCCAACUGUUUGAAUCAUGUUCAAAUAACGCAAACGAUGUUCAAAUACCACAAACGCCGAGCUGUACCCCAUCCAGCUGUUUCUGCACCUCACUUCCAUUUUCUAUACGUCACUUUCCUUUUUCUAUCCAUAAAUCUUCCUCCAUGUGGCUGCGCUGGAGUCUCUGAGCCUACUCUGGCUCAGAAGGCUGGCUGAUUCAUGAAUCGUUCAUUGAUCAAUUAAAGUCCCUUUCAUUUAAUUUGGCUGAAGUUUUUCUUUUAUCUCACUUGCAUUUUUUUCUUUUGAGACAAAGAAAAACAAUUAUUAACAAGCCAGAAUAGAAGUUUCGCAUUGUCAAAGUGCAUGUGCAGUCCAUUCAUUUUUUCUUGUUAUUGUUAGUCAUCUUAUAAAUACAGAACCACAAACUUCACUUCCUUUCGUAGAAUAUACCUCUUUCGGCUCUGGGAAUUACAAACCCUUUACAAUUUUACCAGUUUCGGAAAAAAACCAAUAGGUUUCUUAUCAGAAACUGUGUUCUCUCCCCAGAUGCCACUCUUUGCAUUUAAAUAACUGAAAUUGAGGACUUUGAUACCACAAACAUCAAAGCUCUCUGUUGACUGCAGGGUCCACUCUCAAAUGCACCUUAAUCCCAUUUGAGCACCCCAAUUCUUAAAGGCAGGGUAUUGUGGUUUCUGAAUUCACCAUGGCUGUCUUUUUAUGGAAGUUCACAGACAGGAGUAAUCUUUGAAUAGCAGUAAUCUAGAGGUGGCGACAUAUGACUUCUUCAUGUCUUUGGCAACUUUGUUUAAUUUUUUUAAAGUUGCUAGUCUCUUUUUCUUAAUGAACGGUCCUUGUUUCAUGUUCGUGGCCAUUUUCAUGGUCAGCCGUCUGGGCAAGCUGCUUUUUCUCUUCUUGUGGUAUCACUCCUCCUCUCCUUACUGCUCAGCUGUAGUUUCACACAACGAGCUAAGUGGAGCUCGUGGGGUCACUUACAGGAAACAAGGAGCAUGACUCGCACCCAUGAAGUUAGAAAUGGCACACGGGGAGGGGAGAUAGAGCAGAUCCGUGCACAGCACUCAUGUGUAAAAUAUGCCUGCACCACUGUCUGCUUUGCGUUUGAGUUCAAAACAAAAGGCUUCCGUGAAAUAUAAUAAGCUAUAUAUAUUUUUCAGAGUGACAAGAAUUGUCUCGCUUCCCUUCAGUUCCCAGACUUCUCCAAAGUUAGUCUAAUGUCAUGACAUUGCCUGGGGAGGCCAGAGGCUGGCCUCAGAGACGAGAAAGCAGGUAGCUUGGCUUGGGCUUGUUUCUUAAGGGUCUAGGUGCCUACAGCGUAGAAAUUCAGCAUUUGCAGAGCACCGAGGUGAGGGGCUGGGGGACGGCAGAGCCUAGGACUUGCAAUAAUGCAAACUCAAGACUGCUGAUUCAAGUCAAGCAGGCUAGAGAAGGGGAAGGCUGAAUUUCUUCAGCAACUGGAACUGAGCUACGUGCAUUCAGUUUCUCUCAACACAUUCUGCUCUGAAUCAAACUGUAUUUUAAACUUCAACACAUUCUGCUCUGAAUCAAACUAUAUUUAAAACUAUUUUAAACUAUAUAUUAAAGCCGUUUUAAACUAUAUUUUAAAACUUACGUUAAAGUUCCUGGGUGUGAUUAUAAUAUUGUGGUUUUGUAGGAGAAUGUCCUUGUUGUUAGGAAACAUCCAGAAAUUUUUAAAUAUGGCCUGUGCAACUUACUUUCAAGUGGUUUCUAAAACAAAGAGAGAGGGGCAGAGAGAGUGCAAAUACGGCCAAUGUUAAUAAUUCAUCAAUCUACAGUGAAGGUCAAACAGCGGUUCUUUGUACUAUUCUUUUAUCUUUUUUGUGAGUUUGAAAUAUUUAAAAAAAUUGGGGAAAAUACUUAGGAAUAACUGUAACAAAAAUACAGGACCUAUAUGAAUCAAUGUACAAUAUAAUAUUUAAGGAUAUAAAAUGCAACCCAAAUUCAUGAAAAGAUUAUAUAUGAUUAGAGAAGUGCAGAUAUGUGAGAUAAUUUUUUCUGGUGUUCAUAUUUUUAAAAUCUCACACACUUUUAUAUAUUAGGACAUUAAAUUGUAGCAAAGAAAAUACAGACCAUUUACUCAUUCAUUCUGCCUCUCUCCGUUUGCUCAAUGAACGCUGACUCAUCACUCGGGCUCACACAGCGGCUCAGCCCCUGGCCCCGGCUCCAGUUCCCCAUUCUGUGUGGGCAGGACAGAAGCGGGAAGCGGGAAGCGAGCGGGGGUGCAGGCGGGGGGACAUGAAUCGGAACAACCGUGGCUGUCAAAGAUGCCGGUGCAUCCAUCUCACUACUCCAGGCUAAGAAGGGACAGACUCAGAAGCUGGGGAGAGGGUUGUGAGGGCCGUGACUCUGGAGAUAACCAUAUCUGCAGGGCUGCUCGGGGUCCACACAGGAGCUCCUCACUUCCUGCUGGUGCUGUGCUGCACUGUUCCCAAAGUGAUGGAGCAAGAGAAUUUGGCCUGGUCCUACUGUGUGCUGUUGCUGUGUGACCCUAGGCAUGUUGCUUCACGUCUCUGGGGCUCAGUCUCCACCUGCAAAAUGAGGUGGGUAGGACCAACUACCUCUCCAAGGUGCCUCCAGCGCUGGUGUUCUAUGAUGGGCUGCCCUGUUUCUUCCAGUCUGGUCAUUUCUUGCAGAUUAAACCUGCUGGGAUAUAACUGGGUGCUACGGUGGGGAUAUUAAGCCCCUUCAAUGCUAAGUGUUGAUGUCACACAUUAACUAUAUCUGAAGCCAACAGAUCAGUACCAAAUUUUGGGCCCACCCUGCCAAGGAGAAGCCGUGGCCUCUCCAGGCCCUUUGCAGCUCCUCCCUCCAGCAUGCAAGCUGGUGCUGGAGGGGCCCUUUCCCUCAGGAGAUCCGGUGCCCCUGCCUGGGAGCCCACACACCUACUGUGCAUGGUGGGAUCUAGAAGUCCCUGCACAGCUCCCUUGGCUCCAGCUCUGCUUCUGUGAUGUGAAUUCCAGCCUUAAUUAGACAGCAGGAGCCUUUCGUACCCAUUUCUGCUCUUUCUCCAAAGUACAGGUGGCUGGGCAACAGCUAUGUGGAGAGAUUUUUUUUCAGGUCUUUGCUCUGUUCCUCUUUUCAGAAGGGAGAAAAAACAGUGGGGGGAAAAGAUGUUUUCUCACUUAAUAGAAGCUGGUGAGAGGCAGUCUAUUAGUAAGGAAUUUGGGGCUUUUUAGAUUUGAAUUUUGGGUCAUUCUUCCUUCUGAUCAUGUCAAUUGGUGAGUUCAUUUCUUCUGCGAAAACAGAUUAGCCUUCGAGCUUCCUGAGAACUGAGACAACGAGGUCCCCUCCAUCUUUGAGUCAGCCUGGCCUCGGGGACAGAGGAUGGAUUUUGGAGUCGGACAAGCCCCGGCUGAGGCUCCCUUCAGGUGUUCACUUGGGCAACAACACGGUGGCUGUGGGAUGACUUGGCUUGUGCGGGACUCUGAGUAGCACGGCCCAGCCGUGACCUCUUGCUGUCCCUCCAGUCCACAGGGACCUGAAUGCAGGUGGUCACCAGCCUCCUCUGGAGCAUAUCACUUCCAGUAGUUGGUAUCUGCAUUAAUAGCCCUUGGGAGGACAGGGGCCCUGAGGGGGGUUUCCUGUAACCAAAGAGGUAAUGUAAUAUGGUGGAGUUCCUAAGGGAUUCAAGAUUAGGCUAAUCCUGCCCUUCAAACAUUUCCCCUGAAACCUCUCAGUCAUGACCUUCCAAGACGAGAAGCUUCACGGCAGGCAAUGAACAGAGACGGCGUCAUCUCCAAGGCUCAGUGGAGCGAGUCACGUCACCCUCACUUAGCUGCAUGGCGCAUACCAUGAGUCUUGACCAUCACCCGUGGCUUCAUAAAAACUGACCUUUAUUCAGUGAGACCUUCCUGAGUGUCCGUGCUGCGUUUAACUCUUUGAAACAUAAUCUCAUUUAGUCCUCACAGCAUCACCCAGGAGGGAGAUACUAUCUUCAUUCCCGUUUUGCAGGUUCAUCGACGUGUAAGGAUGUCCCCAUCCUGAAGGCUGAAUGAUGGCCGUUGUGUGCACAGACCACGUAAUGUUGAUCCAUUCGUCUGUUGGUGGGUGCUCGGCUGCUUCCGCCUCUCGGCUAUUGUGAACAGAGCUGCCGUGAAGACAGGAGUGCAAGUAUCUCUCUGAGACUGUGCUUCCCAUUCUUUGUGUGAUGCCCAGAAGUGGAACUGCUGGACCCUACAGUCAUUCUGUUUCCUUUUUUGAGGAACUGCCAUACUCUUCACCACAGUGGCUGCACCAUUUUACAUUAUCUUAUUCACCCAUUCUUUAAAUCACUGUUUUUUGGAAGGCAGAAAACUGUAGCUCACUGGGAAACCAGCCACAUCAUUGGUGCUCAGAGCAUUGAAGGUCUGUCUCUUGGGAACCCAGAGAUUUAGGGAGUCCCAGCUCUCUGUCCAGCCACACAGACAAUGAGUGCUGCCUGCCUAGAGCUGCCCGAAUGGGGAGGGGCAUGUAGCUUGGCACGAAGAUGGACUCCUGUGCCAAAAACAGCCGCACACAAAGCCCUCUGGUGUGAAAUGGUAUUGGAGUUAGUUAUGCAGGAGAAUGUCCUUGUUUGGGAAGUAUGUGCAGAAGUGUUUAGGGGUAAAGCAGCGGCACUGCCAUGCAGGAGAGGCAGCACAGGACCCUCCUGUUGGAGUGCUGCCCCCCAGCCCCCUGCCCACUAACAGGGUUCCUGAAGAGCUAAGAGCCUUUCGAUCUGCUAGACUGUCUGGCGAGGGUUUCCCUGACUAUUCUCCACGGGGAGUUCACCCAGCUGGAAACAAUAACUGCCCCUGCACCCGAUUCCUGAACCCCCCCGCACCCCACUGUAGUCUGCAAAACUCCCAUCACCUGAACAACAGACCAGAGGAGGAAAGAUUCACAGCACUCCACUGACCAGCUAAUACUUACUGAACACCAGGGACGCUGAGAACUGGGGCAGAAGGAGGCUCCAAGGGCUUCCCCUUCUAAUCCCGGCAUCAUGAGUUCAUUCACUGGUGCAACUCAGUAAACAUUUCCUGGGCACCUACUCCAGAAAUGAAAGGCAUGGAUGGGGCAGCCACCUAACAAGAGGCAAACACUAUCGCCUGGUCUUUUUUUACUAAUUAGAGCAGAACGCUUUUGUAUCAAAAUAACUGAAUUAUGAAACCAGCUGUGCAAAAAUCCUAAGUGAGACACAAAGAUUUUUCAGACUCAUCAGUUGCUGUCACCAUUCAAGAAAGCCAUUGCCUUAGGGACCUUGCAGAUUUCACCAUGAAAUAGGUAAAUAUGAACUCAUCUCCACGUCUUUCCCACUGACGCAGUAGCCCGCGCUCCUGGCCCUAGAAUGAAAUACGACCCACGGAUGCUGAGUGCCCCUGUCUGUGUACAGCCUGAGCGGAGCCACAAAUACACUCUGUCUUCAGCAAUCCAUCUGAAAUCAAGGAGAGAGGACCAAGAUGUGGGAAAUAAUUAAACAAAGUGCAAAGAAAAUAAACAGCAGGAGCAGCUUGGGCUAGCUGCGGGUGGUCAUUCCAGAGGGCGUGCAGCCCUGGAGCUGGCAGAAUGGGAUUCAGAAGGAUGGAGAAGGGCAGGAGGACUACACCAUGGUGGAAUGGCCAGGGCUGCUGAGGGGAGAGGGCCGCAGCUGAGGGAACAAUGCCUUUGGCCUCCGCGUGGUGUGAAGGUGAGCAUGGCCAUGCAAGUGCUGCAACAGCAACAAAUCCUGUGUCACUGCAUUAUUAAAUAGUACUCAUUUUCACUAACGGAGGAAAGAGGAACACACUGGUUAAUUCCCUAUGUUGUGUUCCAGGGAGCUGGGCACAGCUGGCAUCAUAUCAUCAGGAGACUCUCCACACAUUCCAGGCACUUAGAGAAAUGGGAAACGGCGCAGGGUGGGUGGAGAAAAGGAGAAACGAACAUGUUCAAAGGAUCCGCUCACUUUUCUAUAUCGCUAACAGGUCAAGCCAUUUGUUUGAGCAGAGGCAUUUUGGGGUCUAUGAUAAGCAGAGUGAGGGCCCGAGUUGAAGACAGUGGGAGACUGAGGGAGGAGAGGAAGGGCAUCUUAAGGCAGGGGGCCCCCGGGCCAGGGCCCCCCAGGGAAAGCCUGGGCAGUGUGUGACUCGGCCUCUGAGCCGUCCACUGCGAGAGCCUCUCAGCUGAAUCCUUGAUAUUUUGCAACACACGUAAUAUCAUGGCCAAUGGUCUGAGGGUGUGGGAUUCACUCAAGCUGGGGGUGACUUCCACAUUUGGGUGUGUGUAGAGGAUGAGGACAGACUGGGAGCCAAGACCCCAGGAAGUCUGUCAUGCAGGGAGCACAGGUGUGGGCACCUCGGCCCCUGAGGGUCCCUCCCGACAUCUGGAGUAUAAGGAACCCAGCAUGAAACAAACCUCAGGAACCAGGGAGACCUUGGCCGCACUUGGGCCUUCAAUACAUGAAUGUGGAAGAGCCUCGUACCAUUCAAUUAUUACUCACAUGAAGCAACUGCUGCGCUGUCGUUGCUGUUUUUGCUUGUACCUGUCCCGCCCCUCCCCCAGCAAAGUCAGUUAGAAGCAGACGCUGCUCAGUAACCAGUGGUACUUUCAUUAUUGAUGGCUUGGUUUCAUGCUAUCUGUGAUCUCCUUCCCUUUCUCUUUUUACUGAUCUCACCGGUAUUUGAAAAUUGGUACACGAUGUAGCUGACUACACCGUAGUCAAUUUUUUGAUUUCCCCAUCCACCAAGAAACGCUCCCUUACGGGUCAAAAAGCAAUUCCCCGGCUCUCUUCCCUUUUCCUGCGCACCGGCAGGCAGCCUUUCCUGCUGGUCCCAGUGCUUCUCGGAGGGCACCAUCACGCGCCGCCCUGGCCUCGCCCACGCAGGGCUCUGGAACGGCCCUGUGGCUGAGGCCAAGGGCACCCCUCCAAUGCCCACUGCCCUGCUGAUAUCCCCGACACCGCCCACCUCUCCACCUUCCACGCUGCUCCGCCCUCCUCCGCCACACACACUCCAAACCUGCAGUAUUCUGAGAAACGCUGAUUCACGUGUCAAUGGGGGGUAUAGGAAGAGAGAUGAAGAUAGUCAAGUUUCCAUUCUCAAAAUUCUCAAAAUUCAAAGGAAAACACCAUUGAGGUAGCUUAUGAUUAUUGGCACCUUACAGACUGGGAAACUGAGGCUCCUUCUGCCAAGGACGAGGGGCAGGAGGAACCAAAGGUCUGCAGAGAAGACAGAAAGCUGCCAGCGCCUCUCCAGGGCCUUGAUGGGGAGCUGGUGCUCGGCCCCAGCAGCCCUGGGGCAAUCUCUAAAGCAGAGAAAGAGAGGUGCUUCAUGAAGAGGUCUUGGGCUUUCUUUAGAAUUCAGCCCUUCCCCUUUCUUCUUCCUAGGGGACUCCCAGCAUAGUUUACCCUGGGAGCCCUGACUGUGUUGCAACGGGCUCAGGGUAGAGACCCGGUGACAUGGAACCAGCCAGGCAGCAACCUAUGCCUGCAAGUGAGUGUGGAGAAGAAGGAGGUGCAGGAUCUGCCGCAAGGAGGGGCGCUCAGCAUCAGUCUUGUGAAGUCAUCAGUGUGCUCCGCUGUCCAUGUAGCAGCAGUUACACCAGCCAAAGAGAGAAACAAAGUCAGGGCAUGUGUACGUGCCCCGGUGCCCUUUUGGUUUCCGUUAGGCACCUUGCUCAAUUUCCUGAUAAACAAAACAGAGCCAUCUGUGACUCUUCCAGCACACCUCCACUUUUAGGGAAUUUUUAGGGAUUUUAGGUCCCAGAGAGGAGAAACAGAACAGGGGAAGAAGUGCCCGAUCGGUGUUAGGGGCCAUGGUUCGAGGUCCUGCUUGUGUGACCUUCAGCAAGUUACCUUCCCUGUUUGCUUCCAUUUCCACACCUGUGCAACAGGGCUGCGCUCUGUCUGAGAGACUAGAGGGUCACGUCGGAUCAUGAAUAGCGUUUGGAACUGCUAAACACGCAUUCAGUAAUCUCAUUUGUCAAGGAUGGGAGCUCAGACCACAGGGCCUGUCUGAGACACAGCUGGGAAGUUUUUUUCUAGUUUCCCUUUUCUGAAAAUCUGCUCCCACUCGGUGGUUUCUCCUGCCUACCACUGGCACCCAGCGUCUGGAUAUGUUGCCUACUGCACUGCCUACCAAGAACGCGUCAACGUUAUCCCCAUGUUGUGUGAGAGCAGGAAAAGAGGGUCUCCAUCUUCGAGCUGAAGAGUCUUUCCCAGAGUGGAUGUGCAGCCACCACCUGCCCAGGGGGUAUUUUCCCAGAGCAUCAUUUCUACUCUACAAAGAAUUUUAAAUUUUGUGGGGUUUAUUUUGUUUGUUUGUUUGUUUGUUUUUUGAGAUGAAGUCUUGUUCUGUUGCCCAGGCUGGAGUGCAGUGGUGUGAUCUCG
rnacentral:lncRNA from 10 species